rnacentral:rRNA from 2 species
GAGAAGGAUACACCUGUUCCCAUGUCGAACACAGAAGUUAAGCUUCUUAGCGCCGAGAGUAGUUGGGGGAUCGCUCCCUGCGAGGGUAGGACGUUGCCAUGC